rnacentral:rRNA from 1 species
CCUACGGGUGGCAGCAGUGGGGAAUAUUGGGCAAUGGGCGCAAGCCUGACCCAGCAACGCCGCGUGAAGGAAGAAGGCUUUCGGGUUGUAAACUUCUUUUCUCAGGGACGAAGCAAGUGACGGUACCUGAGGAAUAAGCCACGGCUAACUACGUGCCAGCAGCCGCGGCAAUACGUAGGUGGCAAGCGUUAUCCGGAUUUACUGGGUGUAAAGGGAGUGUAGGCGGGAAAGCAAGUCAGAUGUGAAAACCAUGGGCUCAACCUGUGGCCUGCAUUUGAAACUGUUUUUCUUGAGUACUGGAGAGGCAGACGGAAUUCCUAGUGUAGCGGUGAAAUGCGUAGAUAUUAGGAGGAACACCAGUGGCGAAGGCGGGCUGCUGGACAGCAACUGACGCUGAGGCGCGAAAGCGUGGGGAGCAAACAGGAUUAGAUACCCGAGUAGUC